GGAGCGAUGCUCGAGUGGUUGAAGAGGCACGCCUGGAAAGCGUGUAGUCGCCAAAAGCGGCUCGGGGGUUCGAAUCCCCCUCGCUCCGCAA
rnacentral:tRNA from 4 species